GAAAUGCGAUAAGUAAUGUGAAUUGCAGAAUUCAGUGAAUCAUCGAAUCUUUGAACGCACCUUGCGGUCCUUGGUAUUCCUUGGAGCAUGCCUGUUUGAGUAUCAUGAAAUCUUCAAAGUAAAUCUUUUGUUAACUCAAUUGGUUUCUACUUUGGUAUUGGAGGUCUUUGCAGCUUCACACCUGCUCCUCUUUGUUCAUUAGCUGGAUCUCAGUGUUAUGCUUGGUUCCACUCGGCGUGAUAAGUUAUCUAUCGCUGAGGACACUGUAAAAGGUGGCCAAGGUAAAUGCAGAUGAACCGCUUCUAAUAGUCCAUUGACUUGGACAAUACUUUUAUGAUCUGAUCUCAAAUCAGGUAGGACUACCCGCUGAACUUAAGC
rnacentral:misc_RNA from 1 species